GGUACUAUAGUGUAGUGGUUAUCACUCGGGAUUUUGAUCGUCUGUCAACAUUCCCGGAACCCAGGUUCGAACCCUGGUAGUACCU